UUUAAUAAAUGAACCAAUUUGAAGCUUUGGUGGUUGAUUUUGGGCUCAGUCUUACCUGACUGGCAAUUAUAGUAACCUUGAGGGAGAAAAAAGGACAGUCCAGUGAUGAUGAAGCUUGGAGUCUCUUGGAAGAACGACAGCGCCCAUCCAAGCUGCCCACGGGUUGAAAUUAGCUAUCCCUGAUCUCUCUGCGGCCUCUGAAGCCCUUUCAGCUCCACUAUAACAGUGGAUGUCAAAUUGAGUGGAAACGGUCUUGCCAACCCUCCCAGAUUGAUGGGUAGCUACAGUCACUUCUCCAAGAGGUGAUGACAUCUGCUAAGUGGCCCUAUGAUUUCUGUGAAGUGGAAAACGCGGGGGGAUCACGGAAUUUAGGACACAAAAUGGAGUCUACAAUA